UAGGGAAUCUUCGGCAAUGGGGGGAACCCUGACCGAGCAACGCCGCGUGAGUGAAGAAGGUUUUCGGAUCGUAAAGCUCUGUUGUUAAGGAAGAACGAGUGUGAGAAUGGAAAGUUCAUGCUGUGACGGUACUUAACCAGAAAGGGACGGCUAACUACGUGCCAGCAGCCGCGGUAAUACGUAGGUCCCGAGCGUUGUCCGGAUUUAUUGGGCGUAAAGCGCGCGUAGGCGGUUUUUUAAGUCUGAUGUGAAAGCCCACGGCUCAACCGUGGAGUGUCAUUGGAAACUGGAAAACUUGAGUGCAGAAGAGGAAAGUGGAAUUCCAUGUGUAGCGGUGAAAUGCGUAGAUAUAUGGAGGAACACCAGUGGCGAAGGCGACUCUCUGGUCUGUAACUGACGCGGAGGCUCGAAAGCGUGGGUAGCAAACAGG
rnacentral:rRNA from 1 species